CCCCAACUCGAGAUGGAGAUGGAAGCGCCGCCGCCGACCUCGUCCUGCCCACCCGCUCCGGAUCCUGCCCCAACGGCUACCCACCAGCUCCACUUUCCUUCUAUACCCGCCGCCACGCCACGCACGCCACCUCGCCGAAGCCGUGUCCUGCAAGGACAAGCCUCCGUCUCCCGCGACUGCCUCUGGCCCGGCUAUAAAGGCGCGCCCUUUGGCCGGCCAGCUCCCCCUCUCUUCGCCGAGGCCACUCCUCCUCUCUUCGAGUCUUCGUCCGCGCCAUGCCUCUCGCCUCGAUUCGUCCUCGACUGGUGCCUCGCCUCCUCUCGCGUAUGGUUUCAUCUCACCCAUCCUCGCUCGAUUCGUCCGUUCAGAUUAGAAGAAGCAGUUUUGGUUUUGCUCAUCCACGGGUUCUUGAUUUAUUUGGUUCUGCUCGUCCUCGCUGUUGUUCGUUCAGAAAGUGUCUUGUUCUUUCGAUUCUUCUCGUCCUCGCUGUCGUUCGUCUAGGAAUUGCGUAGGAAUUGCGUCUGGUUCAUUCGAUUCUGCUCGUCCUCGCCGUCGUUCAUUUAGAAAUGGCGUCUGGUCCUCGCCAUCGUCAGUUUAGACAAAAUCGCGUCUGAUUUGAUUCUCCGCGUUCUCGCCGUAGUCCGUUUGCAAUCGCGUUUGCUUUGAUUCUGCUCGGUCCCCUGUGUUGCUGCUGGGUUCGUUACGCUCAUGCUCUCACGUGUUCUUCGUGCCAUCUCAUCGUGGGUAUCCGUGGAGGAAGCGAGCGGUCGGUCAGUCGGUUUGGGUCAUCUGGUUUGCGAACUAACAAGUCUGUUUGAGAAACUUCUGCGUCCUGCCUGCGUUUCGUGUUCGUGACUGCUUUUGAAAUUGGAUUGCCGUUUAUCGCGCUCGUUCAGAUCGGUUCCUCUGUCCCGUCACCUGCGCUGUUCGUCCGUUAUUUUCAUAUCUGAAAUGCAUGCGCCCUUUGAUACUACUGUACUUGAUGGAUGUUCAGAUCUCAAACGCUGCCUUGUUCAGAUCGGUUCUUCUGAUUGAAAUAGGAUUGUUGCCCCUCUGUCGAUACUUAUUCUACUUGAUGGAUGUUCAGGGUGUUACUGCUUAUGUUCUUUUCAAUUGCUUAAUUCUUGUCAUGCUUUGCUUAUGUUCCCAUAUAUGGUUGUGUGUAUUCAGGGGUGCUUAGGCAGAAAGAUUUACUAGAGUGCAAACCAUGUAAUUCCUCAUGUUGCUGCUACUUCACAGUCACAGUGCUUGAAUUUCUUUAUAGCUUUAUCUGAAUCACCCUCACCGCUCUAGAGAAAUCAGUUUACUCAUUCAAGUUCUGGAAUGUCUUUAUAGCUUUCUCUGUUUGCGCCCCUAUCUAUGUUUGUUUCUUGUGUGCAAGCGCCGCUCCAUUCUGUGUGUGUGGCUUGAUGGUGAAUAUGUGUGGCUUGACUCUGUGUGUGUGUGGCUUGAUUGUGUGUGUGUGGCUUGACUGUAUGUGUGUGUGAAUGUGUGUGGCUUGAUGGUGAAUAUGUCUGGCUUGACUCUGUGUGUGUCUGUGUGUGCGACUGUGAGUGGCUUGACUCUGUGUGUGUGGCUCUGUGUGUGUGUACGACUGUGUGAAUAUUGCAUUUGCUUGAUGGUGUGGCUUUUGGCUUGUAUGCUUUGUUGAUUGAUUUGGUUGUAUAACUUGUGUUUUAUAUUGUUGUGGCACGAUUGAUUGUUGUUUGUUGAAUGUGAACUCGUAUCUUGACGAAUAAUCAUGUAUGCUAACUUGGUAUCGGUAGUUCCUGAUCAUAGGUAACACACCUAUUACCUUUUUAGUAUAGACUAACUAUUCUUUUUUCUGAACUUUUUUUGUGUUAUGUCUUUACAUUGCACUGCUCCCAGAUCCAUAUCGACAUGCCCACGCUGUCUGAUGAGGAUAAAGAUGUAAGGAACUCCUCCCAAGAAUCUCUCUUACUGCUUGUAUUAACUUGGCGACUAGACUUUACAUGUUUAAAAAAAAUCGUGAAACUGGAGCUCCUUGUUGUAACCCAUUAUAUGACUUUAUGAGCAUGCACCACUUUCAGGUUAUGAAAAAAUAGGGUGCCCCAACCAAGAUUGACUUCCUCUCUCUUUCUUAUACAAGACAUGCAGAAGAUGUGCUGCCAGCAUGGGAGUUCCUCUCAAAGUUAGGUGAACUUAGUCAAACUCUGUUUUUUGCAAAAAAAAUGAGAAUGUGGAGAGCUUGAACCAUUUUGAUUGGAUCCUGGAAGAAGCAGAUGGUAUAAUUCUGUCAAGAGGAAACCUUGGAAUUGAUCUUCCACCUGAAAAGGUGUUCUUAUUUCAGAAGUCUGCUCUGCACAAGUGCAACAUGGCUGAGGCAACUGAUGUGGCAA